rnacentral:lncRNA from 10 species
CAUUGAUCAAAGGCUGUUUCAUCCCACAUGGGCACGAAACAUACCACAUUUUACGGAGGAUGUAGCCCCAGAGAAGAGGGAGGUGGAGAAGCAUAAAUGAAAGGCACCUUUUCCUUCCUCUAGAAGAUGCACAGAGAAUUUCUGACCUUGUGACGUUUGGGAGUGAGGAGAUCCCAUACAGAGGCAUCCAGGUAUUUCCAGAGAUCCUGUGGCAGGUGAGGUCUGCCCUCGCUGGAGCCAACUCGUCUAUAAUAUCUUCCUAACAGCAGAACCUGGGUCUCACUCUGUCCCCUAGGCUGGAAUGCAGUGGUGUGAUCAUGGCCCACUGCAGCCUUGAACUCCUGGACCCAAGCAAUCCUCCCAUCUCAGCCUCCCAAGUAGCUGGAACUACAGGUGUAAGCCACACCUGGAUAACUCAUUUAUUUUUAGAUAACCUGUUUUUAAUAUUGGAAGCUUUUAUGAUUAUCUCUGGACGGGAAAACUGGCUUAGAGAUGUUAAAUAUCCUGGAUUAUUGUCAGUUUAACAAAAUAAUUUCGGCUAUCAAAGAUCAAGUGGGAUAAAUUUCAGAGGAAGAAACUGAGCUCCUUGCAUACCAUAGAGGAGAGGUCGAGGUCCUUCCACUGAAGCACCAAGUGGGGUAUAUAAAGCCACACUGCCCAUGAGGGCUGUGGUGUGAGUCUGCUAGCCGUGAGAGACAGAUGCAUUACAAAGGGAUGGAUUUAGUGCACUCUUUCCUCUCUUACUCACAGCCUGAACAGCCAGUGAACAAUGAAACAAAACUUCUUCCCAAGCCUCAAUGAGGAUUGUGCCAUAGUUUGAAGGUAGGAGAAUUUCAAGCCAUUAAUCGUCUAUGAAUACUGAAUACCAGUGAGAAUGGCUCCUUCAGGUCUAUCAGCUUAUUGCUGCUUCUGUGUUAUUCUUAGGCCAAAGAACAAUGGUCAAUCCAGCAAUCAACUCAUUUUGGCUGAUUUGUGCCUUUAGUCCAGGCUUCUCAGUUGUACCACACAGCCGUUCUUCUCUUCAAUUUCAGGGUCAUUCCUUCAGGAAUUCUGUCAGGAAUAAGCAGCAAGUUUCCUACUGCUCUGGGUCCUCCUUAGACCCUUCUUAUUUCAUGUUCAGAGGAAUGAACUCCACAUCCUGUCCUAAACUCCACCUUCCUUCUAUUAUUUUUUCAUAUUUGACAUUGAUACUCAUUGAAACUAGAAUCUGAAUUAUUACCACCAAAGAUAUUACCUUUUUUUUUGCACCGGAGAGCUUAAUCUUUAAAAUGUUCUGUGAGAGAUGGGAAUGGUGUACUAUCUUUCUAGUGUGGCAAAAGAAGAGAGAGUAACAAAAUAAUUGUGUUCAUAUUAAGAUUAUUUGAAUAUAAAUAUUUUGCCAAAUUUGUAUUUAGGUGUCCAUGUUAUUUUUAAUAAUUGGAUUGAUAUAAGUAGAUCUUAAGAAAUAUCAAAAAAAACCGUUUUGUCAAAUUGGAGUCAAGGAGGCAUGGAAAUUCUCUUCAUUUGCAGUACUCCUAAAUUCCUGCUUAUUCUGUGGUUGAAUUUAUAUCAACAAAGAGAAUUGGAGAUUAAGGCAAUUAAUCAGAAAUUUUAAUUAAAAAAGGAAUGGAAAAAAUAAGUAAAAUUUCCUAUAGAAUUCUAGGGUUUGACAUCUACACAGAUAUAUUCAUUAGGUAGAAUAAUAAGUCUUUUCUUUGCUCUUAUGAAAAUAUUGUUCUCUAAUUGUCAAUGAGCAUAAAGUAAAAUGAAGAUAGAUUAUACAAAUAUCCUUAUUGAUUAAAAGUUUAAAAUUGCCAGUGCCCAAGAAAUAUGCCUGAAUUCAAGGAUAUCUUAUUGCAAAGAAUAUCUUACUGCAGUUUGUUUUUUUUCCUUACUGUAAAUAAAGGGUCAACCAACAGCUAAUAACUCACAACUGCAUCUUUUCUUGUUAGAACAUGUCGCCCAGCACUUUUUGAUUAGAUGUUCUCAGAUAAUAGCUGGGGCAGAUUGACCAAAGGAGAGCAAUUUUUUUUUUAAUCAGGAUAACAUAAUGAUUCCAUCACAAACUUUAGAAAGGGCUAUGGAUAUCACCAAUUUUCUUUUUUUGUCUAUUAUUAGUGCUGUAUCUUUAGUGGAAUUGAAGACAUGACCUUCUGCAGGUUUCAAUACAACUUUAUAAAAGGCUGUAACAAUGCCUUUAAAAUCAAAUCUAUUAACUGUUCUACAGAGAAGCCAGUUUUCUAGUAACUUGGCCAUAACUUAAAGACAGGGACCCUGAAAACACCAAGCAUCUGCCUGCAAUCUGAAUUAUCUCCCUGACUAGAUUCAGUAAUCUUGGCUCUUCCCUGCAUUUAAGUCAUUUUGUGUACAUCAAUUUUCUCACCUAUGAAAGAAGAGAGUUGUCCAACAUGUUCUGAUGUUCUUUCAGUUCUGAGUUCUUUGGAUAAUUUGAUUGGAGCCCAAGAGAUGUCCUAAAUCUGACUGGCAUGCAGUAAAUGUUUGUUGAUUGUGAAAAAAUAUUUGACUUCCAAAUGGGUUGUAAAAUAUCUCGUGUGGACAUACUGCAGCAAGUUAACACUUAUAAUUUUGGGAGCAGAAUAAAUGUAAUUAAGUCACAAAUGCAAAUGAAUUCUCUGCUUAUUUAAUUCAAAGAGAAAUAGUUGUCUAAAAACAAUCUGACCCAUAUACUGGUUGAAAAUAGUAAGCAUUAUUUUUUUAUGAAGGGCCAAGUAAGUGGCUUACAUAUAUUAAAUGUAAUAAAUGUAUUCAAAAAGAUUUUCACCUAGUUGAACUGCAUUUAUACUUCAUGAAUAUCACUAGUGUAAUCAUUACUUUAAAAACAUAUAGCUGGAGAAAUAAGCAUUUAGACAGGUAAGAAAACAGACUGAAGUUUUAAAUUUUAUUUUUAACAGUCAUUCUAAAAGAAUUAUUUAUCAUUAUAUAUUUGUAUGACUGUUAAAAGUUGAAACAGAAAACAUGGAAGUAUGCUUUUAAUUGAUCAUUGUUAUAUAUAGAGAGUGAAUUAAAAAAUUUAUGCAUAUAAAGUUACUAAUAAUUUUUUGAGCACAUAUAGUUUCCUACAUACUUACCUAUAUCUAUUCUUUAAUCCUUGUAACAGCCCCAUGAACUAUCUACUAUUAUUAUCAUCAUUCCAUCUUGCAGAGUUGUAAAUAUAGCUUAUCUGAACUCUAGAAGUCAUAUUGUUCAGUGUUCCUGAAAGUAAUGAAAAAAGUUAUCUAGAAUAUGUACAUAUCAGUUAGAAUGUUUGUGAAGCAAGUGAUUGAAAAUUUAUUAUCUUCCAGAGAUGGCAUCAAGGUGAGUUGAUUCAGCAGCUUAACCUUGUCAUCGAGCAUUCCAGUUCUUUCAGCCUCUCUACUCUGCUGUCUGCAACAACAGUUUAUACAAAGGCUGGUUUCUUUCUCAUGUGAGAUGGCUUUGUGUUUGCCCAGUGUGUGUGUGUGUGUGUGUGUGUGUGUGUGUGUGUGUGUGUGUGGCAGAGGGGCUUCUCAUGUGUAUAGGUGAAGUAAGUUGGAGUUAUUUAGGAAAGGGAAGAGCAAAAAGAAAGAAAGAAUACUGGGUAAUCAUCAAUGCCCAACACAGGAAAGAGUGUAAGUAAAUGAAACCUCUGUUUUUUAAUGAUAAAUUUUGCAUGUAGCAUGUUCUAGUAAAGUUUGGCUCCACUGAACUUGUAUUACUUUGUAAAAUAUUCAAAGUCAUAUUGAAAAAAAUUCAAAUGUUCUCUAUUUAUUACUUCCCUUUUGGAAUUCAGUUAUGACUCCUUAACAUAGAGGCUCUAAAUUCUUAAUUAUAUAGCUGUGAAAUAGACUUUUAAGUGGAUUGUAAUUUUAUACAUUUGUGAGCUUUUAUUGCAUUCAUUUCUUAUGGCAGAGAUUGCUCCUUAUUCUCACAAUCUUUAUUUGGGCCAUGGCUGUUCUGCAUAUAGACUACUUGGCAGCCUCCCUUAGAACUAGGUGUAGCCAUAUGAUCAAGGUCUGUUCAUGGGAAUAUAAAUGAAAGUAAUGUGUACAACUUCCAGCCAAUGCUUUCAAAGGAAAGGUGUGACACUUUAGGGCUGGUAGAAAGAAACAACAAUAAGGAGCCUAGAUACCUGGUAAGUUUUAAACAGAAGACCUAGUGUAUCAGCCUACAUAAUUAUGUCUAUCUUGUAUAAGCCAUUUUAAAUUUAGGCUGAACUUAUAUCCUAAUGCAGUAGAUAACCAAUAUCAAUACAUUGUCUAGAAAUAAAACAUAAUUUUCUGUUGUUUUUUGAUUUUCUUUUAGAUGAAGUCUUGCUCUGUUGCCCAGUCUGGAGUGCAGUGGUACGAUCAUAACUCACUGAAGUCUCAAACUUCUGGGCUCAACCAAUCCUCCCGCUUAACCUCCCAAGUAGCUGGGACGACAGGUGCAUGCCACUACGCAUUGCUAUUAAAAAAAAAAUUGUAGAGAUGGGGUCUUACUAUGUUGCCCAGGCUAGUCUUGAACUCCUGGCCUCAAGCAAUUUUUCCAUCUUGGCCUCUGAAACGCUGGGAUUACAGGUGUGAGACACCACAAGGCCUGAUUUUUUUUUUUUUUUUUUUUUUUUUUACUGGAAAUUGGAUUACAAUCCUUCUGAGUACAAUAUAAAAUACAUUGCUUGUUGUUGAAUAAUUUUAGGAAUGGAGUAGCAUCAUAUGGAGCUUCCAACAUUCUUAUUUUGAUUUUGUAGUUUUUUAAUAAACACAGAAGACUUAACUGUUUUGAAUGAAUUUACCCAUUGCAAGCAAUUAACAUCCAAUCACUUUACUUAAAAUAAUCAAACCAUUUGUGUAUAUAUAUACAGGAUAUAUUUCUACUGUUUACUGUCUCAAAGCAUUUUAACAAGCUAUUGUGCUGGCAGAGUUAAUUAGAUCUGAAAACUGGUAUAAUAAAAACAAUAAAAAACUGUAAGAAUGCAUUAAAAUAGAACACCAAAAUAAUAGAACCUAAGGUUUCUAAAGUUGUAUUUGACAAGUCAAAUGUUCCUUAAUAACUGGAUGCAUCAGAAUACAUUGUUCAUUAUAAUAUUAAAGGCAUGUAAUGAAAUGAAAAUUGAAGCAAUAGAGAAUUCAGUAUGCACAAUUAUUUUAAAUUUAAAAUCUUACCCAUAAUGAACAUAGCUAAAAACAUAAAAGACAAAUGAUAGAGAAAUUAAAAGCAAUUAUCAAAGGAAUUCUCAGCAGAAAUUUCUGAUUUAAAUUAAAGCCUAUGAUUAAAAAUCUCCUGCCUCUUUGUCCCUCUCGCCUCUUCCCACAAUUCCUUACUGCCUCAGCACCUUGUAACUUACAUUUCUUUUCUUUAAAGACAAUCAUACUAUGCUUGAUCUAUGUGGCAGGAAUGAACAUAUCAACUUCACUUUUCAUCAACUUCACAUCUUUCUGGAUCCUGUCUCUGUAAGCCCUAAUGCUUAACUUGUGAAAGAACAAAGAUGGAAAUACUAUUGAGUAAGGUCCAUGAAAAGUGGAAUUAUUUUUCACCUACAUAAAUGUUAAUUUUGUAAAUAAAAAAGAAGACCAUUUCAGAUUUUUUUAAAAUUGAGGCUUGAAAUGGAGUACAGUGUAUUUUGGUGGCCAGGCCUGGAUUGUGAUUAUCUAGGUACCCUAAGUAGCAAAAAGAUUAUGGUCCCUCA